rnacentral:tRNA from 1 species
GAGAGUGUAUGGGAGACUACUAAUCUCCAAGACAAUUUGUAUUGUAACAUUUU